UAAAUAAAAAAGUUUAUUUUACCUAGGUAGACGAUAAGACCCUAAAACCUUUAUUGAGUGUUAAAUCUCUUUUUGCUGGGGAGGCAAAUUAUAAUCUCAUAGUUUAUGAAAACAAAAUGAAUGAUUUUAAAUAACUUAAGGUUAAAUCCAAAAAGGUACUUUAGGGAUAACAGCAUAAUUUUUAUAUAGAGUUUACUUAUCGACAUAAAAGAUUAUGACCUCGAUGUUGAAUUGAUAUUACUUUACUAAGCAGCCCUAGUAAUUUGUAGGUCUGUUCGACCUUUAAUCUAUCACAUGAUC
rnacentral:rRNA from 1 species